UCACGUGAUGAGAAAGAUAGACACAUAAAAUUAUAUAGAAACCUGUAGAGAGGAAGUGUUUCUCCAAAAAGUGGGCAUUAAAGAGAAGUCAGAGGGGGUGGUGGUCUAUAAGGCUCAUAAGUAUUGCGUUGUAAGCCUUCCAAGUUCUAUAAACGCUUACAUUGUGAGCUCCAACUCCUCCAACCGUUUUGAUUCAUUCAUAUUACCUCUCCCACUUUGUUCUUUCCAAACUCACUUCAUCUCCAUGAUCUCUCUCUAGCUCUCUCUCUCUCUCUUUCUCUCUCUCUCUCUCUCUCAUAUUAGCUAGACUUCAAGUAUUUUUCACUCUCAAAUCUCAACCUUUCAAUCUAAAACUUUGUUUUGCCAAAAACACAGGUUUGGUAGAGUUGAAAUGAUGAUGCUGGGAUUGGAGAGGUUGGUGUUGAAUUUGAAAUCCAAGUUGAGGUCUUUGAAGGUGAACAAGAAGCCUUAUGACAAGAUUGAAAAGAGUGAGAGCAUGAGAGUUGAAAUAAGGAGCAAGAAGGCCAGAAAGCUCAU